CUUAUGAGGACUUGGAGCCAGGCAUUGGCAGCAGCAGCAGCAGCAUCUAGAAGAGGCUAGAUUCUGAAUGGUGCACGAGGGGAGAGCCAAGAGGAUUUCCUGGCCAGUUCCUUGUUGGAUGGCUCCAGGGCUUUUGCCCUGAGUGACUGGAAAGAUAGAGUUACCAUCCUUGGAGGCUGGGAAGACCGCAGGCAGAGCAGGCCAAACAAAAGAAUCUGGAGCAGCUGAGGAUGGAGCAAAGCGCUCAAGGAAAAACACAUGUCAUGCUUUCGUUUUGUACAUUCUGUGUUGAUGUUGUUGUUUUGUUUUGUUUUGUUUUAACUUGGAAAAGGUAGUUAAGAAGUCCUCCCUCCCCCACUUAAAAGCAUAAACUGAGAGACUGGAUUACUGAGCUUUUGCCAGAUGGCAACAGUGAACUGGCACUGAAAGCAUCUGAGCUCUUACUUCACCCCAGGCACAAGCAGGGAGGACCCAGCUCACGGUGGUAAAUGCUGAAGGCCGCCUCUAACCAGGAAAUCGGGCAAGAAGACCAUGGAGGAAUGACCAAAUGAAAUCAAUCAACAUGCAACCACCAGGUUCCAGAUGAUACCAUGAUGCCAAUCUGACUUCCUUGGGCAGAAGACUCCACCAUGUCUCUUGGACCCCUGCCUCCCCAGAUCCCUGCCCCACUAGGGAAAGAAAGAGGCAGGCUGGGAGUAUGGACUGACCUGUCAAUGCCCAUGUUCAUCGGGGAAGCAAUUACAGAAGCCAGACCUUCCACCUUCUGCACCCCAUAAUGAUCUUGGGUCCAUACUCCCAGAGGG